AGAGUUUGAUCAUGGCUCAGGAUGAACGCUGGCGGCGUGCCUAACACAUGCAAGUCGAGCGAUCUUCUUCGGAAGAGAGCGGCGGACGGGUGAGUAACGCGUGGGCAACCUGCCUCAUACACAUGGAUAACAUACCGAAAGGUAUGCUAAUACAAGAUGAUAUAAGAGAUUCGCAUGGAUUUCUUAUCAAAGCUCCGGCGGUAUGAGAUGGACCCGCGUCUGAUUAGCUAGUUGGUAAGGUAACGGCUUACCGAGGCGACGAUCAGUAGCCGACCUGAGAGGGUGAUCGGCCACAUUGGAACUGAGACACGGUCCAAACUCCUACGGGAGGCAGCAGUGGGGAAUAUUGCACAAUGGGCGAAAGCCUGAUGCAGCAACGCCGCGUGAGCGAUGAAGGCCUUCGGGUCGUAAAGCUCUGUCCUCAAUGAAGAUAAUGACGGUACUUGAGGAGGAAGCCCCGGCUAACUACGUGCCAGCAGCCGCGGUAAUACGUAGGGGGCUAGCGUUAUCCGGAUUUACUGGGCGUAAAGGGUGCGUAGGUGGUUUCUUAAGUCAGGAGUGAAAGGCUACGGCUCAACCGUAGUAAGCUCUUGAAACUGGGAAACUUGAGUGCAGGAGAGGAAAGUGGAAUUCCUAGUGUAGCGGUGAAAUGCGUAGAUAUUAGGAGGAACACCAGUAGCGAAGGCGGCUUUCUGGACUGUAACUGACACUGAGGCACGAAAGCGUGGGGAGCAAACAGGAUUAGAUACCCUGGUAGUCCACGCCGUAAGCGAUGAGUACUAGGUGUCGGGGGUUACCCCCCUCGGUGCCGCAGCUAACGCAUUAAGUACUCCGCCUGGGGAGUACGCUCGCAAGAGUGAAACUCAAAGGAAUUGACGG
rnacentral:rRNA from 1 species